rnacentral:misc_RNA from 1 species
AAAAAAAUGGGGUACAGAAGU